rnacentral:rRNA from 1 species
GAGUUUGAUCCUGGCUCAGAACGAACGCUGGCGGCAGGCCUAACACAUGCAAGUCGAACGCUGUAGCAAUACAGAGUGGCAGACGGGUGAGUAACACGUGGGAAUCUUCCUAUCGGUACGGAAUAGCUCAGGGAAACUUGGGGUAAUACCGCAUACGCCCUUCGGGGAAGGAUUAUCGCCGAUAGAUGAGCCCGCGUCUGAUUAGCUAGUUGGUGAGGUAAUGGCUCACCAAGGCGACGAUCAGUAGCUGGUCUGAGAGGAUGACCAGCCACACUGGGACUGAGACACGGCCCAGACUCCUACGGGAGGCGAGCAGUGGGGAAGUAAUUGGACAAUGGGCGCAAGCCUGAUCCAGCCAUGCCGCGUGAGUGACGAAGGUCUUCGGAUUGUAAAG